CUACGGGAGGCUGCAGUGGGGAAUAUUGGACAAUGGGCGAAAGCCUGAUCCAGCCAUGCCGCGUGUGUGAAGAAGGCCUUCGGGUUGUAAAGCACUUUCAGUGGGGAAGAAAGCCUUGGGGCUAAUACCCUCGAGGAAGGACAUCACCCACAGAAGAAGCACCGGCUAACUCCGUGUCAGCAGCCGCGGUAAUACGGAGGGUGCGAGCGUUAAUCGGAAUUACUGGGCGUAAAGCGCGCGUAGGCGGUCUGAUAAGCCGGUUGUGAAAGCCCCGGGCUCAACCUGGGAACGGCAUCCGGAACUGUCAGGCUAGAGUGCAGGAGAGGAAGGUAGAAUUCCCGGUGUAGCGGUGAAAUGCGUAGAGAUCGGGAGGAAUACCAGUGGCGAAGGCGGCCUUCUGGACUGACACUGACGCUGAGGUGCGAAAGCGUGGGUAGCAAACAGGAUUAGAUACCCGUGUAGUC
rnacentral:rRNA from 1 species